UACAGAGGUCCCAAGCGUUGUUCGGAUUCAUUGGGCGUAAAGGGUGUGUAGGUGGCGCCGUAAGUCGGGUGUGAAAUUUCGGAGCUUAACUCCGAAACUGCAUUCGAUACUGCGGUGCUUGAGGACUGGAGAGGAGUACUGGAAUUCAUGGUGUAGCAGUGAAAUGCGUAGAGAUCAUGAGGAAGACCAGUGGCGAAGGCGGGUCUCUGGACAGUUCCUGACACUGAGACACGAAGGCCAGGGAGCAAACGGG
rnacentral:rRNA from 1 species